CAGAUGUGUCUCUGGAUGAGAAGCAAUGUCCAAGACAGCAGACCUAGUUUCCUCAGAUCUUGGAUAUUGAGCAAAUGGAGAAACAAAGAUGAAUAAGACACAAUCUCUGCCCUUAAGGAACCUGGUUUGAUGAAAACAAAGGGUAAAGGCCAUGAACUUAAUCUUUAGGGUGUCCUCAUCCUCCUACCAAGACGACAGCCAACACCUCACAAUGACAAAAGGAAAAUAACAAGAC